AAAAAAGCUCCUAAAAUUCCCAUGUAGCCUGGCUGCUGGCUGCCAGGGUGGCAGGUUAAGUUAACUGAAUGCAUGAAGAUGAAUGAGGACUUUCUUAGCAAAUCUGAAAUUAACUGGGAGAGAAAAUGAGUACAACUGAUCCAAUAGUAAAAAUGAGAGAUGGGAUUGGCUCAGCAGUUAAGAGCACUGGCUGCUCUUCCAGAGGUCCUGAGUUCAAUUUCCAGCAACCACAUGGUGGCUCACAAACAUCUGUAAUGGGGUCUGAUGCUCUCUUAUGGCAUGCAGGAUUUCCUGGAUCAGAAAACAGCUGUAAAAAGAUCCCAAGAGGAGACGAGACUUGGAAUUCGCACCAAAAAUUUCGGCAAAGUUGUGUGUGCUGUGUGCCAUGUGCCAUGAGCGCUCAAAGCAUCAGCUCAAAACAUAACAGCCGCUCCUAUUCCAAAAUGCUAUGCUCGCACAUGGAAAAACUGACAAACUGAAUUUGAAAGAGGCAGGAGCCAGAACACUCACCGGAAUAGCCAGGCCUAGGGAAAGCAUUCCAGGAAGAUCUCAGAAGCAAGCCUGGCAGAAUUGACUCUGGGAACGUCAAGUUUUGCAACAGGCACAUGUUUUAAUUUUUUAAGCUACCUCUUGAGACUGGCCUUAGCCAUAGUCAUCCUUUUAUUAUGUGGGUUGCCUGGAAAAUGCCAUUUAACGUUCCUGAGAACACUGCAGAGUCAAAUCAAACCAAACAUCUCAAUACCAGCUGACAAGAAUCUUGGCCUGUGACUCUCAAAAGCAAAAAUGCUUCAAAAAUAAAGAAAGGGAGAUGGAGCUGCCCAUGGAACCUUCCAGAAACAAUUCUCUGAACCAAGGGCUCUGAACCUAUUGAAGAACUAAUAAGGACAAACAAGACAGUCAUUUGGAUCUGGGACUUGGGAAAGAAGCAAGGCUUAUCGCUGAGGCAAUUGUUGUCCUGAGAGACCUGGUGCAGAUAAAUGCUAUAGGGUCCUAAAAGGUUAUAACAAGGGAAAGUUCUUCUCUGUGUGUGUUGGGUGGGUGGGUGAGAUCAGAUUCAAGAGAUUUGAAUAUUCAUGUGUGCUCUGCAUCCCCACCCUCCAUCCCCAGAGAGGUCACUGUUGAGCCUGAAUCCCUGUGGGCUCUUUAUCUUAGCCCAAUGCCUGUGGUCAUGAACAAUGCUGUUUCUAGAUAUCAGAACUCUAGAAGACUGAUUACUAGAGAGACUGAGACAGAGACAAAGACAGAGAGACAGGGACCUUUUACUCUGAAUUUCAGUGUCUGCUUUAAAUGAGAGCUCAGAGAUCUGGAUGAAUCAUUCAUGACCAGAGGGAAAUUUUUAAGAUCUGGCUAUCACAGGGGCUGGGAAAAUGGCUCAGUGACUAGGAGCACUGGCUACUCUUCCAGAGGACCCGGGUUCAAUUUCCAGCAACC
rnacentral:lncRNA from 1 species